UCUCCCGACCCAAGCUUCGCCCAAUUUCUCUUCUUCCAAUCUCCUCCACUACUCAUCGCUGCCGACCACUCUCCUCCCCACCCGAUCGUCGCCGGUGCAGACCUCCUCAGUCGGUGAUGUCCUCGCGACCUCGAAGCCGCAUCAUCGUCUCCUUCUUCUAUGCAACACUGACCCUCGGGCUCACCUAAUCUGGCCAACGCUGGGGUUGUUUUACUUGAUUGCCGACUCCGUUUUGGUCCUUUCGGCAUCACCGGAGUGGAUCUACCAUCAGAGUUUCGAGAGGGAGCUACCUUCAUCCGACCUUCCUCUUCCUUGAUUUAUGUUAGCUUCAGCGCCGAGUCUUUCAUCCCCUUUCCAUUGCCGCACAGGUUUUCUUCGACGAAGGAAAGUCACGACCAUGAGGGGCCAGAUUUGGGGCAGUGUUAGCUAUUUGGGGGUCAGGAGCAACCUUGGAACUCCCUCUCACAUACCAAUCUAACUUUCCACUGGUUCGCCGAGAGUUUUUGGUUGUUUGGUCAUGAAAUUAAAGGUAGUGGUUUCACUUGGUUUCGGUCAUUACAUCGUUGACAGCCUAUGUCCACUUUGCCGGAUCUGUGCAACGCAGGCUGUUGAAGAAGAAGAGGACUUGGAUUCGGGAGGAGCGUCUCAAUAUAGGGUUUCUAGACAUGAUUUACGUAAAAAGGCGGGUACUUCCUACUUUGUCUCUUUAGUACAUUGAUCUUAGUGCAUGAUCUAUAUAUUUGGAUAGUUACUGUGUUUAUCUUGAUUUCACUUGUAUUUUUCCUGUGCUUGAUACUUAUCCACUAAAUCUUUGAGCUACUCAUUUUUAUAUCUAUA